UCUGAUUAAAUUAUUGUCAUCCUGUGUUGGUAAAGGUGAAGAUGGGUCAGACAGGUUUCAUUCUUUUUUGAAUCAUGACUGAGAACCUUAAUUUGAGGCUUGGUUAGUGUUGACGCAGAUAAUGACUGCAGGUUUAUAUACUAGUACAAAUGAAUGCACUCACACACACAUACUCUGACCACAUAACUACUGGAUUUUCAUUUGUCCAUGAGACUCCAUAGUUGACCACAAGUCAUGAUACAGUAUUUGUUCAGGACUAUUGGAGAUGAAUUUGAUUUUACAGCGCUCUUGUGAUGUGAAAUUUGACAAGGGGUUAUAGGUUGAAUGCUUUGCCCAGUGGAAUCACUGACAUAUUUCCUCACAAAAUUGUAUCUUCAAGGAGGUUUUGCAAAAAACAAAAAAAAAAACAAAAAACAAACAAACAAAAAAAAACAACUCUUACUACUUAAUACUUGUAAUACUGACCAAGUAUUACAGUUCUGUACCUCAGCUUUGCUCCCAACCAACCACUUCCACAUGUUUUGCUGGUAGAGCUGAGGACAGCUCUGCCAAGACAUCAAAUCCCUCAGUUAAACUUUUGAAACAUCCUUUCGUUUUUCCUAGUCAUCUGUAUUCAUUCCUCUUAGUGAACCUGAUCUCCACUAAAGUCUUUGACUAACCCAGCAACAAUUCCUCCAAGGCCAUGUUGUCUACCUCUUUGAUCAAUUCUUCAACUUUUCCUUAUCCCUCAAUGUAAGAAAAAGGGAGGUAGGAAUCUGGCUCCGGUUGACCGUUUGUGUAAUAUUGAUAUUGAUUUGAUCACAGUCUAGGGUGGAUGUGAAUUUAUUUGGGUAAGUAAUGUGGAGUUCUUAUCAAUAAUGCAGUCAAUAAAAUGUAUUUUUCCUAUAUUUAUAUUAAAUGCUGGGAAUCUAAAAUGGAAAAGCAUAUUUUCCCCUCGAUGAAAACAGCUGUGGCACUAAGUUCAUCUGGCUCAUGAUGGAAUCCAUGACUAAAUGUGAAUUAAUGCAGCUGAAGUGCAGAAAGUGGAAUACCCUGUAUAGAACCAGAUUCCAGAUGUUACAAAGUCUUUGAAGUAUCAGUAGAGGAAAUGUCUUUUCCGAUUUAUUCUCAGACAAUAGCGCAUGUUGGCUUUUAAAUCAGCGUGGUAUUGAACUGAUGGUUGACUCUUUAUCUCCAAUAAUGCUAGAGGUCUACUUUUCCAUUCAGUCUGCUAGCUGCAAGGAGGUUUCAUCUUUUGGUGAAGAAGUUCUCAAGUAAUAUAGACGGAUAUUUUCAAUACUGUUUUAGAGAGAGCCAUGUCUUCAAGACCAGGAAGUAACAGAUAAAACCUCUUCUCCAACAUUGCUAUUCUAAAUCAUCUGUUUCACAUGCAGUGCGUAUGACAUAAUGGCUUUUGAUGAACAAAGCCUAAGAAGUUUAAGACUGUGUAAUAUGGAAUAUGAAGGUUGUCCUUUCAAACAAAUUUAUAGGAAAUUCAAGCUUGCUUCUGUAAUUAUGGACUUAAAUAUAGUAUGUGAGUAGAUCAUUUGAAAAGAUGCUUCCUGAAUUAUUAAUACAGUAUGUAAUAGCUGCUAAAUUAGGUUUUAUAAUUCUAAAUCAUCUUACGGAGUGUGAAGAGAAGUGUUCCAAAUGUAUCUUUGAAGACAGAGCUGGAAAGACAAAGCACUACAUUGAGAAUCCAGUGUCUGUGUCAUUCAUCCUGGUCACUGGGGCUUUACUGGUGUGCCCUUGACAUCAGGAUGGCAUUUCUAGGCAAAUGCUUUUGUACUUCUGUGAUAAUGUGGGAUCUGUAUCAGGUUAUUUUCAUCAAUAUUUGCAUUAUUGGGGUUAUUUAGGGAUAACAUAACAAUUACUUUAUCUUUGCAAAUGGGAAUGACAAGAUAAUAUUUUUCAAUUUUUUCAAUGGUGUAAUUGUUUAACAUGAUAAUUUGGGAUGUUACAACAGAGUGUUUUUAUUUGUCAGAAUGCAUAGGAGGCAGCAAGGAUUGCAGAAAUGUGGUUGGUAAUGUGUAUAGAACCCUCGGCAGGCCGUGGGCCUACCUGGCAGCAGAUCCUCAUAAAGCAUAUUUAUUCUAGAUUGGCUUUCUCUAUAAAAUUCUUUCAAUUGCCACUUCUGAAAAUCUAUCAUAAAGAUGAUGCUUACAAACCCAACAAGUGUCUAUCUUUACGGAUAGCUAACUCAAGCCUAACUCUCCAGAGUUUAUGAGUGAGUAGGAGAGGAUUACAUAUUUUAAUUUCAUCUGCCCAUAAUGAUUUCCAACAAAACUAACAAAAGCCUCUAGCAAGCUCUUUGCCAUAUAUUUUAGCACUAUAUGCAUACGUACACAUUUGUGUGUGUGUUACGAAUACAGUUUAUCCAUAUGUGCACUGUAUGUCCUUAUAAUUUUUCCAUGUGUGUAUAUAUAUAUAUAUAUAUAUAUAUAUAUAUAUAUAUAGGAAUUUUUAUUUUGUUUUAUUUUUGCUUUUGCUUUAUGCUGAAAUAUCCCAUGAAACCAAGGAAAAUCAUAUUAAAAAAACAAGAAUUUUCAAUAAAAUUGAGCGUCUCAGGUC